rnacentral:rRNA from 1 species
CUUUCCCUCUGGCGGCAGGCCUAACACAUGCAAGUCGAACGGUAACAGGAAGCAGCUUGCUGCUUUGCUGACGAGUGGCGGACGGGUGAGUAAUGUCUGGGAAACUGCCUGAUGGAGGGGGAUAACUACUGGAAACGGUAUCUAAUACCGCAUAACGUCGCAAGACCAAAGAGGGGGACCUUAGGGCCUCUUGCCAUCGGAUGUGCCCAGAUGGGAUUAGCUAGUAGGUGGGGUAACGGCUCACCUAGGCGACGAUCCCUAGCUGGUCUGAGAGGAUGACCAGCCACACUGGAACUGAGACACGGUCCAGACUCCUACGGGAGGCAGCAGUGGGGAAUAUUGCACAAUGGGCGCAAGCCUGAUGCAGCCAUGCCGCGUGUAUGAAGAAGGCCUUCGGGUUGUAAAGUACUUUCAGCGGGGAGGAAGGGAGUAAAGUUAAUACCUUGGCUCAUUGACGUUACCCGCAGAAGAAGCACCGGCUAACUCCGUG